rnacentral:rRNA from 1 species
CCUACGGGAGGCAGCAGUGAGGAAUAUUGGUCAAUGGGCGCGAGCCUGAACCAGCCAAGUCGCGUGAGGGAUGACGGUCCUACGGAUUGUAAACCUCUUUUGCCGGGGAGCAAGCGUGCGUUCGUGAACGCGCGUCGAGAGUACCCGGAGAACAAGCAUCGGCUAACUCCGUGCCAGCAGCCGCGGUAAUACGGAGGAUGCGAGCGUUAUCCGGUUUUGUUGGGUUAAAAGGGUGCGUAGGCGGUAUGCACAGUCAGCGGUAAAAAUGCGGUGCUCAACGCCGUCGAGCCGUUGAAACUGGCGUUCUGGAGUGGGCGAGAAGUAUGCGGAAUGCGUGGUGUAGCGGUGAAAUGCAUAGAUAUCACGCAGAACUCCGAUUGCGAAGGCAGCAUACCGGCGCCCUACUGACGCUGAGGCACGAAAGCGUGGGUAUCGAACAGGAUUAGAUACCCGGGUAGUC